rnacentral:rRNA from 1 species
UGGCGGACGGGUGAGUAACGCGUGGGUAACCUGCCUCAUACAGGGGGAUAACAGUUAGAAAUGACUGCUAAUACCGCAUAAGACCACAGUACCGCAUGGUACAGGGGUAAAAACUCCGGUGGUAUGAGAUGGACCCGCGUCUGAUUAGCUAGUUGGUGAGGUAACGGCCCACCAAGGCAACGAUCGGUAGCCGGACUGAGAGGUUGAACGGCCACAUUGGGACUGAGACACGGCCCAG